CAGCCGCCGCGGGAAUACGGAGGGUGCAAGCGUUGUUCGGAAUUAUUGGGCGUAAAGGGUGCGUAGGCGGUUUGGCAAGUUUGGUGUGAAAUCUUCGGGCUCAACUCGAAGUCUGCAUCGAAAACUGCCGGGCUUGAGUAUGGGAGAGGUGAGUGGAAUUUCCGGUGUAGCGGUGAAAUGCGUAGAUAUCGGAAGGAACACCUGUGGCGAAAGCGGCUCACUGGACCAUAACUGACGCUGAUGCACGAAAGCUAGGGGAGCAAACAGGAUUAGAUACCCGGGUAGUCCCUGUCUCUUAUAC
rnacentral:rRNA from 1 species